rnacentral:lncRNA from 1 species
CGGCGGAUGCGGAAAGGGCCGUAGUAUCGCUUUGCUAGCUUCUGUGAGGGUCGAUGUUGGACAAAACUUUGUCGGUAAGGUUGUAGUUUCAAGAAAACCCAUUGAUCAACUUCAAAUUGUUUGUCCUUUCGAUGGAGGUUUACUUGUUGAACCAUACGAUUUCUGGCUUUGGUGAGGUUUUCUUUGAGCAGACGGAGGAUGCGAGCUUUGUUGUGAAGUAAUUCAUCCAAGGUGUUGAUUUUGGAUUUCCCAGUGGUGUAUGGAACCAAGGUGGGUGGUUUGCGACCGUAGAGGGCUUCGAACGGAGUCAUACCUAUCGCAGAGUGAAAAGCUGUGUUAUACCAAAAUUCCGCAAGUGAGAGGAAGCGAACCCAAAGUUGUGGCUCGUCGCUCACAAAACAACGCAGGUAUGUUUCCAAACAGCGAUUUACAACUUCAGUUUGUCCGUCGGUUUGAGGAUGGUAAGAGCUACUGAAAGAAAGUGUGGUUCCCAGGUGUUUGAACAAGGAGCGCCAAAACUGACUGACAAAUAUACGGUCUCUGUCACUAACAAUUGUUUUGGGUGCCCCAUGGAGUUUGUAGAUCUCAGAAAUGAAAAUUGGAGCUAGUGAGGCAGCAGUGAAACUUGCAGGUAGCGAAAUAAAAUGGGCAAAUUUGGUGAGGCGAUCAACAAUGACCCAGAUGGUGGUUUUAUGGUGCGAUUGGGGAAGGUUGGUGAUGAAAUCCAUGGAGAUGUCAUCCCAAACUUGUUGAGGUAACGGUAACGGUUGGAGUAAACCGUAAGGGGCAUGGGUGUUGUAUUUAUUGUGUUGGCAAGUGGUGCAGCGAUUGACGAAUUGUUUGACAUCUCGGUGCAUACCCGGCCAAUAGAAGGAUGCUGAUACACGCGCCAAGGUAGCUUGAAUACCGGAGUGGCCGCCUAAAGGUGAAGCAUGGAAUUCUUGUAGAAUUUCCAAUCGAAGCCCUGUUUCUUCAGGUAUAAACAGUCUAUCUUUGAAGUAGAGUAGGUCUGAUUUGUGAGAAAAAUGUUGCCUCAUUUUGGUGUCUUCUUGUGCUUUCCUGAUUAGAUUCUGACCUGCAGGGUUAGUAGAAAAAAAAGAUUGUAAUUGAGAAAUUAAAGGGGAAGAAAGGGAACUAAUAGCUGCACAGAUUUCCUCAAUUGGUGGCUCAGUUACUCGAGAUAAUGCGUCGGCGACAACAUUGUCUUUUCCAGGUUUGUAAUGAAUUUCAUAGUUAUAACCCACAAGUUUAGUUAACCACUUUUGUUGCUCUGGGGUUUGGAUUGUUUGUGUCAUGAGACAUUUCAAACUCUUAUGAUCUGUGAAGAUCUUAAAAGUGGAUCCUAACAAAUAUUGUCUCCAUUUUUUUAUUGCUUCAGUUAGGCCAUAUAACUCUCGCACAUAUGUGGAUGCGGCAGAAAGACGGGCGUUCAGCUUUUUGCUGAAAAA